rnacentral:rRNA from 1 species
CGCAUCGAUGAAGAACGUAGCGAAAUGCGAUACUUGGUGUGAAUUGCAGAAUCCCGUGAACCAUCGAGUUUUUGAACGCAAGUUGCGCCCUAAGCUUCCGGGCCGAGGGCAAGUCUGCGUGGGCGUCAAGUUACGUUGCUCUUUCACCCUCCU